AACGCGAAGAACCUUACCUGGGCUUGAACUACUGGUAGUAAGUCUUUGGAAACAUGGACUGAUCCGCAAGGAAGCCAGCAGAGGUGCUGCAUGGUUGUCGUCAGCUCGUGUCGUGAGAUGUUGGGUUAAGUCCCGCAACGAGCGCAACCCCUAUUCGAUGUUGCUAAUCCCGCAAGGGAUGCACUCUUCGAAAACUGCCUUCGAUAAGAAGGAGGAAGGUGGGGACGACGUCAAAUCCUCAUGGCCCUUAUGUCCAGGGCUACACACGUGCUACAAUGGCCGGUACAACGGGAAGCAAUACCGCAAGGUGGAGCCAAACCCUUAAAGCCGGCCCCAGUUCAGAUCGUGGGCUGAAACUCGCCCACGUGAAGGCGGAAUCGCUAGUAAUCGCGAAUCAGCAGGUCGCGGUGAAUACGUUCCCGGGCCUUGUA
rnacentral:rRNA from 1 species